AUGCUGGAUACAUUUUUAUUCCACUGCAUACUCUUCAGUGUCCAGUGGCAAGCAGAGUUGACUCCAGGAAGUCAGGAAGAUCCACAAUGUCAGAGGUCCUGUUGGCAACUCCAAUCCUUGAUGAUUUAUCUUGGUGAGUUCAGGGUUCCAGAGUCUAUCACNAUGCUACAUGAGUGUUGCUACUUUUUGUCUGGGACUUCGUUUCAUUUACAAAGUUACAUUUUUUGUUUCAUAGGUGAGGGGAAUUUAGGAGAUGGAAGUGCUGAAUCUAUGGCUGAAACCAACAGCAGUAUAACCAUUGGUAGGAGAAAGGCUCCAUCAUUGUCUGAUGUCACUGAACUGCCCCAAACUCACUCUAUAAGGACUGAUGCUAANGAGGCUGAAGGAGGUAUGGACAGCAUUAAUUCCACAGAGGUAAAAGAAGAUGAUGCACCACCAUUCCUUGAACCUGAGAAAGAGACAGAACACAGAGAGGAGCCAGAGGAGCACAUAGCAUCUUUCCAAUCAUCACAACCACAACCAAGGCAGAAUGCAGUUGGAGAUCCUGAAGAUGUCAAACAGGAUGAUGCCAAAGAAGGUACAGAUGAAGACUUUCCNAAGGAACAGGAUGCAAAGAAACAGAGAAACAAAUAUUCCGCAGAAAAUGAAUUUUUUGAUGCUUAUGAUUAUGUCUGAAGAGGCGUAUUUCAAACAUCAUGCCAUCUUAUAUGAAGGAUUUUAAUGGUGGAAGUCUUGAAAAUCAUGUUUACUGCUGAUGAUACUUUCUACAUUGUUUAGAAAUAUUUGAAUAAUUUCAUCUUUCCAGGACAAUUAGAGAUGUAAACUUAAUUAUGGGUUACAUGCUCCUUAUUUGUUGGUGAAUUUGUAUUAACCAUUAAGGUUUGGUGAGAAUGAAGAUGUUAAAUUAUUUAGCAAAUCUGCCACAUAUAGUANUUUUUUUUACUACACAAGUUGUUGAUGAUUAAUUCUUCUUGUAAUUUCCUGAUGAAUUAUUUUUCUCUGCCUGCCUAAUCAGCAGGCCUGCUGUGAAAUAUAAUUGCACUUGCAAGAAAAUUACUGUCUCAUGAGAUGAAUAAGUUUGAUGAUUAAAUUUGAGAGAAUGAAGUAAUAACAAAUACCCCAAAAAGAAUGGUAUGCUGGCUCCUUUGCCGCAAUCUGAUGACCUUUCCAAGUAACACAAUCAUGUUUUAGAACCAGUUGAGGCCGAUACAACUCACAACAUAGCAAAGAAAUUUUUAGAUAAAGUAUUUUCUGUUACAGAAUGAUGGAAUUUUGCUUCAGUUAAAUUAAAAAAUACCAGUCAUGAUCUGAGGUCAGUAAAGCAUAAUUCAUCAAGUUUUAAGGCAGCGAAGAAUGGAAAUGCAGAACAGGCUUGAUAAGGAGACUUAGUUCUGCACUGACCUGCGUGUUGGAUCAGCUAGCAUAUUAGGAGCCUCCCUUAUGGUUCCACCCAGGUCUUCCUUAGACUCCAUUGGAGUGCAAAAUGGAGGUUCCUAGUUCACUUGUUGGUCUGGUAUACCAUCCAGUGCAGAAACGCCCAUAGUUGCUGUCAAAUGUAAUUUCUAAACUGCAUCUGAAGUGAGGGAGCAGCCCGGCGUUCAUAUCGGUAGGAGACAGACUUCUGUUCGAAUCGCAUGCAUUAUUUCUUGUUUUCUGCACAGACACCAGAUACUUUCCAAUCCAUGUUUUCUCAACGAUUAGCAUAGCCAUUUUCUUCUUGCCAUCUUCUAGCAGAGUACAUUAUUUUUUAAUCUAUAGCUGUUAUUUUAUAAAAUCCCAAUAUUUGAUGUAGAGCCUGCCAAAUCCUAGAUUGAGAACAGACAGACUUGGGAAGACAGAUGUGCUUUUGAAACUGUUUCACAACUGCUCUGGGAAAAUAGCUCUACAAUGAAUUCAAUGCCCCCCUGCCAUUUUUCUUUUCCCAGUUGGAAAAGACAUGUCUAGAAGAAAGUGCCAGGCUGAGCACUACUUCUUUGCUGAAACGGGAAAAUAUCCAAGAAUGAAUCAACAGAGGAUGGCAAGCUAUGCUUCUAGAAAAGCAGCUCCCUUUCUUGUCUCCUUGCUGUUCGACAUCGGGGCUGCUUGCUUGAAGGAAAGGCCUUUUUCACAUACAAAUACAAUUGAGUCAUAAAAUGGACAUUUAAAUAAGGUUAGUGCAGGCCCAUUAAAAUUAAAAGUCUGACGGCAGAGAAAAUACAUGUGGGAUGGGAGUGUUAUUGUAAAAUAUGUACUCUUUUUCCUCUGACAGAGGCUGAAUCCAGAUGAGAGGGGGAGGGCACUUUAAGGUAUGCAACCCUCCCCCCCAGUCACCUUAAAGGGAACCAAUUUACUUCCCUUUAAGCCGGAUUGCCUCUCUACUCCACCAGAUGGCNCAAGGGCUUUCCUCCCCUCCCCUUGACAGGUGAGGGAAGUUUGCUCCCUCGCUGGAUCAGAUGUCAUUUUAAAACCGAUCCUGAGGAGGGGGUAGACCUCCUCCCCACAUGAUGGACUGUUCAGUGACAUCUGAUCCAGUGGGGGUGGGGAGCAAGCGUCCCUUGUCUGCCAAAUGGUGUCAGGGAAGGUCCUCACACCGUUGGGCAGGCAGGGAGAAGGGCACACCCUGCCCUCUGCGUCGAAGCAGGAGUCCUUGCUUCAAUAUGGAAGGNGGGGGGUUGAAGGCAAGGAAUAGCCCCAUAGGCCGUUUCCUGUCUUUGAAAACAGGCAGUGGUGAGACAAGGAGAGUUGAAGGGCCCUCUCAGCACUUCAGCCUGCUCUGUUGCUACUGUGCCUUAAUGUUUGUAGUGGCAUAAGGGAGGAGUGUGAGGACUGAGUGAGGUGUUUUUCCUCCAUGUGUGAGAGAGCAAUGAAGGUGCAGUGAUAAGCAGGCACUGCGCCCUCAGUGCCCCCUCAAUACAUUGUAAUGGAGUUGUGUGGAUUCAGCCAGGGACUUAGCUGAAUGGACAAAACACCUCCUUUCUCCAAAUUGAGUUAUCCUCCUUAUCAAAUAUCUUAUCAAACUUGUUUUUGCUUUAACCUUCACGCAUCAUAGCUGUACAGUUUACCAUCUUUCCCGUCAUAUGACAUAUCCAAUUCAAAAUCAGACUUUGUUUAUGAGUNAAAUCAUGCAAAUACGAGUACCUAAAUACGGGUUAGUUUUGGGCAUGGUUUCCUGACAUCUCUUGGCCUUUCUCACCUUUUCAAAUUGUAUUUAAAAAUUCAUAUUUCUUUCCCAUUGCAAAACAGAACGAAAUCUCUGAUGUAGUGCAGUGCUUUGUACCUUGUUGCAGUAAUUGCUGGCAGAUCCAGAGAAAUGGGACAGGAAAAUUUCAUUCCUGAGGAGAUAAUUUAUCAAAACAGCUCUCAGUGAUUUCUGAAACAGAUUUUGAAAAUAUAGCUCACUCUGGCAUAUCAGAGUGUUUUGGAGUACUGAUAGNUGUGAAAUGCAAUUGCAGUGACUACUUGAAAUUUCUCCCCCCAGUAAUGCAAUAGUAUAUAUUUGGAUAAGAAAAAGGAACAAAAAAGGCUUUAUAAGUGAGACUUAACACNUAGAUUUUAAUGAACACAUAUAUGCAAACCUUUGUGUUCGCUUUUGUUCAUGAACCCUUUAAGNUAUAACCUUUCUAAAAUAAAAUUGAACUUUUCAUAGUUCA
ensembl:lncRNA